AGCGAACACUUUUUUGAACUCUUCGGAGGGAAGAGAGGGUGACUGAGCGGCGGACGGGUGAGUAACGCGUGGGCAACCUGCCUUACACAGGGGGAUAACAAUUAGAAAUGAUUGCUAAUACCGCAUAAGACCACGGCCUCGCAUGAGGGAGCGGUAAAAACUGAGGUGGUGUAAGAUGGGCCCGCGUCUGAUUAGGUAGUUGGUGGGGUAGAAGCCUACCAAGCCGACGAUCAGUAGCCGACCUGAGAGGGUGACCGGCCACAUUGGGACUGAGACACGGCCCAAACUCCUACGGGAGGCAGCAGUGGGGAAUAUUGCACAAUGGGGGAAACCCUGAUGCAGCGACGCCGCGUGAGUGAGGAAGUAUUUCGGUAUGUAAAGCUCUAUCAGCAGGGAAGAAAAUGACGGUACCUGACUAAGAAGCCCCGGCUAACUACGUGCCAGCAGCCGCGGUAAUACGUAGGGGGCAAGCGUUAUCCGGAUUUACUGGGUGUAAAGGGAGCGUAGACGGAAGCGCAAGUCUGAUGUGAAAAUCCGGGGCCCAACCCUGGAACUGCAUUGGAAACUGUGAUUCUAGAGUGUCGGAGAGGCAAGUGGAAUUCCUGGUGUAGCGGUGAAAUGCGUAGAUAUCAGGAGGAACACCAGUGGCGAAGGCGGCUUGCUGGACGAUGACUGACGUUGAGGCUCGAAAGCGUGGGGAGCAAACAGGAUUAGAUACCCUGGUAGUCCACGCCGUANACGAUGACUACUAGGUGUCGGGAGGNAAAGCCUUUCGGUGCCGCAGCCAACGCAAUAAGUAG
rnacentral:rRNA from 1 species